rnacentral:rRNA from 1 species
CACUGUUAACGGUGGAUCACUUGGCUCGUACGUCGAUGAAAACGAGGCGAGACUCGAAAGUUUAUGUGAAUUGCAGCACGUUGACAUAGAAUUUGAACGCACAUUGCGGUGUUGAGUUGACUCGACGCCGCGUCUGUCUGAAGGUCG